UACCAGUUGGCGAAAGCAAGAUCUGUCAAAUGCUCCAUCGGCGACCAUGUGGAUGGGAUAUUCGGUGUGCACCCCGACGAGAAUAUCCCAGGAUCUCUCGACAAAGGGAGCCCUUCUCUUGCAAUAUAGCGGGUAAGCCUAUGAUCUUACACGAAGAUAUAUUUGAAAUCUUUCAGCUCUAGGUUCAUGAAAGUUCUACAGCCUCCUGUUGCCGUAGAACGGGGUUCCUGUCCUUCUAGAAGCCUCAGAUCUAAUGGCAAAAGCUUCAGGCAAUUUAAACUAUGCUCUACCGUUGCAGAUGACUAGAUCUGAUGCCUCGCGUCUUCUCUCUGUUGCCUCAACGCCCUCCUCCAGGCUCUUGGAUUACAUUUGGUGGAAGAACAGAAUUUCGUUUUCGUGGCCCCAUCGGGCCAAAUAUAACUCUCCA
rnacentral:sRNA from 2 species